AGAGUUUGAUCCUGGCUCAGGAUGAAUGCUGGCGGCGCGCCUAACACAUGCAAGUCGAGCGGUAACAGGUCUAGUUUACUAGAUGCUGACGAGCGGCGGACGGCUGAGUAACGCGUGGGAACAUGCCCCAAAGUGAGGAAUAACUGCCCGAAAGGGUAGCUAAUGCCGCAUAUGAUCUUCGGAUUAAAGGAUUUAUCCGCUUUGGGAGUGGCCCGCGUACGAUUAGGUAGUUGGUGAGGUAAUGGCUCACCAAGCCUACGAUCGUUAACUGGUCUGAGAGGAUGAUCAGUCAGACUGGAACUGAGACACGGUCCAGACUCCUACGGGAGGCAGCAGUGAGGAAUCUUCCACAAUGGGCGAAAGCCUGAUGGAGCGACGCCGCGUGCAGGAUGAAGGCCUUCGGGUUGUAAACUGCUUUUAUAAGUGAAGAAUAUGACGGUAACUUAUGAAUAAGCACCGGCUAACUACGUGCCAGCAGCCGCGGUCAUACGUAGGGUGCAAGCAUUAUCCGGAGUGACUGGGCGUAAAGAGUUGCGUAGGUGGUUUGUUAAGUGAAUAGUGAAAUCUGGGGGCUCAACCUCACAGGCUAUUAUUCAAACUGGCAAACUCGAGAAUGGUAGAGGUAACUGGAAUUUCUUGUGUAGGAGUGAAAUCCGUAGAUAUAAGAAGGAACACCAAUGGCGUAGGCAGGUUACUGGACCAUUUCUGACACUGAGGCACGAAAGCGUGGGGAGCGAACGGGAUUAGAUACCCCGGUAGUCCACGCCGUAAACGAUGGAUACUAGCUGUUGGAGGUAUCGACCCCUCCAGUAGCGAAGCUAACGCGUUAAGUAUCCCGCCUGUGGAGUACGGUCGCAAGACUAAAACAUAAAGGAAUUGACGGGGACCCGCACAAGCGGUGGA
rnacentral:rRNA from 1 species